UCAGAAAGAAUCACUGCUGGUUGAACUCCAGUACAAAAUCUUCACACCUGCCUCAGCUGUCAGGGACUGGCUCUGAAACCAACUAGCAAAAUGGAAAUCAUCAACCUCUGCUGAUUGUACCAUGAAGGACAUCACCUUAUGACCAUCAUCAGUUAUUCUGCAGAGUAAAAUAAUAAAAAUUCAGUGUGAUCUUAAGAACCUUCAAAAACCCUGUGCCAAUGACCCUGGCCAACAUGAUUCAAUGCAACAGGAUGCUUGCCCCAUUUGCUAUAGAAACCAGAAGAUGUGUACCUAUGGGAGCUCUCCAGUAUGACAGGCCUCUGCUUACCCACCACAAAGAACAUAGCCUCUUCUGCUCCCACCCCUUGGCUGGGAAUGCAGCAAUAAAGACAGGAGCACAGCAUGGAAGAAGGAAUCCAGGACUUGGGUGACAGCAAACCAGUGAAGAAAAUACGUGCAAGUAAAAGGUCACAGGGAUUUAAAAAGAAAGAGAGAAAGAAAGAGAAAAAAAAUUCCUAGCUUGCUCAGUCUUUGCUGUCAAGAACCAGCCCACUCACAGUACAAGACUCAUAAAAACAUAAUGGCUAGUCUUGCAAGGGAAAGACCCUAAGCACCGCUUGGGACCAGGGCUGUUUGGCACACACUUGUAAGCCACAUAUACUGGAGACAAAAUUAUCUGUGAAAUUAAGAAGUUUCAUAAAAUUCCUAUGAAAAUUAAGACAACCUUUGGACUGAAUAUUUAUACGAUGAGUUUGCAACAACAGUUUUAGAUGGUAAGGAUGGAAGCAUUAUUCCUGGUAUUGCCAUGAGCAAAGAGGCAGUCAGGCCUCUGAUCUUCUGGACCACCCCCAAAGGGAGUCUACCUCCCUCUUGUCACAAUUUAUGGAAUGUAAGGUUCAAAACACAGGCAUUACGUCAGGUACUCAAAGACUAAAGUCUGGAUACCUACCAAUU